UUCCAGACUCCUACGGGAGGCAGCAGUGGGGGAUAUUGCACAAUGGGGGAAACCCUGAUGCAGCGACGCCGCGUGUGGGAAGACGGUCCUCUGGAUUGUAAACCACUGUCCCCAGGGACGAAGAUGACGGUACCUGGGGAGGAAGCCCCGGCUAACUACGUGCCAGCAGCCGCGGUAAUACGUAGGGGGCUAGCGUUAUCCGGAAUUACUGGGCGUAAAGGGUGCGUAGGUGGUUUCUUAAGUCAGAGGUGAAAGGCUACGGCUCAACCGUAGUAAGCCUUUGAAACUGGGGAACUUGAGUGCAGGAGAGGAGAGGGGAAUUCCUAGUGUAGCGGUGAAAUGCGUAGAUAUUAGGAGGAACACCAGUUGCGAAGGCGGCUCUCUGGACUGUAACUGACACUGAGGCACGAAAGCGUGGGGAGCAAACAGGAUUAGAUACCCGUGUAA
rnacentral:rRNA from 1 species